AACGAACGCUGGCGGCAGGCCUAACACAUGCAAGUCGAGCGAAGCCUUCGGGCUUAGCGGCGGACGGGUGAGUAACGCGUGGGAACGUGCCCUUUGGUACGGAAUAGCCCCGGGAAACUGGGAGUAAUACCGUAUGUGGUCGAGAGACGAAAGAUUUAUCGCCAAAGGAUCGGCCCGCGUUGGAUUAGGUAGUUGGUGGGGUAAUGGCCUACCAAGCCGACGAUCCAUAGCUGGUUUGAGAGGAUGAUCAGCCACACUGGGACUGAGACACGGCCCAGACUCCUACGGGAGGCAGCAGUGGGGAAUCUUAGACAGUGGGGGAAACCCUGAUCUAGCCAUGCCGCGUGGUCGAUGAAGGCCUGAGGGUUGUAAAGAUCUUUCUGUGGGGAAGAUAAUGACUGUACCAACAGAAGAAGCCCCGGCUAACUCCGUGCCAGCAGCCGCCGUAACAC
rnacentral:rRNA from 1 species